UACGGAGGGGGCUAGCGUUGUUCGGAAUUACUGGGCGUAAAGCGCACGUAGGCGGCUUUGCAAGUUAGAGGUGAAAGCCCGGGGCUCAACUCCGGAAUUGCCUUUAAAACUGCAUCGCUAGAAUUGUGGAGAGGUAAGUGGAAUUCCGAGUGUAGGGGUGAAAUUCGUAGAUAUUCGGAAGAACACCAGUGGCGAAGGCGGCUCACUGGACCGUUGUUGACGCUGAGGUGCGAAAGCGUGGGGAGCAAACAGG
rnacentral:rRNA from 1 species